rnacentral:misc_RNA from 1 species
AAGGAGCAUCAACUGGCCACGACGCCCAUCUAGGUGGGGUCAUGGUCGGUGGUCACUGUCAGCAGCGAAUGUCUGCUGGGUGACUGCUCAUAGAUGUGGAGCACUGGCUACUCAACCUGCUGGUCAUGCGGGUUCACCAGUACCGCCCCGUGAGGGGAGUGGGAACGGGAACUUCGGGUGGUCAACCGGUUGGACACGCUGUUGGGUCCUGAGGAAACGGGCACGUGAGUGUCUGGAUCUUCUGGACUGCGGGACCAAGCCCGGCCGGACAGGUUUUCUGUUCGGUCGUCUUGGUAGGCCCGGUUGUUUUUUGAGAACUACACAGUGGACGCGAGCAUCUCUGAUGGAUCGCUGAUUCUCAUUAUCUGUUUGUGGGUGGUGGGGUUGGGUGGUUCAUCUCUGUUGCGAUUUGUUUGAUCGUUUUGU